AUGCUGGAGGUAUCAGAAGUGCGAAUGCUGACAUAAGUAACGAUAAAGCGGGUGAAAAGCCCGCUCGCCGGAAGACCAAGGGUUCCUGUCCAACGUUAAUCGGGGCAGGGUGAGUCGACCCCUAAGGCGAGGCCGAAAGGCGUAGUCGAUGGGAAACAGGUUAAUAUUCCUGUACUUGGUGUUACUGCGAAGGGGGGACGGAGAAGGCUAUGUUGGCCGGGCGACGGUUGUCCCGGUUUAAGCGUGUAGGCUGGUUUUCCAGGCAAAUCCGGAAAAUCAAGGCUGAGGCGUGAUGACGAGGCACUACGGUGCUGAAGCAACAAAUGCCCUGCUUCCAGGAAAAGCCUCUAAGCAUCAGGUAACAUCAAAUCGUACCCCAAACCGACACAGGUGGUCAGGUAGAGAAUACCAAGGCGCUUGAGAGAACUCGGGUGAAGGAACUAGGCAAAAUGGUGCCGUAACUUCGGGAGAAGGCACGCUGAUAUGUAGGUGAAGCGACUUGCUCGUGGAGCUGAAAUCAGUCGAAGAUACCAGCUGGCUGCAACUGUUUAUUAAAAACACAGCACUGUGCAAACACGAAAGUGGACGUAUACGGUGUGACGCCUGCCCGGUGCCGGAAGGUUAAUUGAUGGGGUUAGCGCAAGCGAAGCUCUUGAUCGAAGCCCCGGUAAACGGCGGCCGUAACUAUAACGGUCCUAAGGUAGCGAAAUUCCUUGUCGGGUAAGUUCCGACCUGCACGAAUGGCGUAAUGAUGGCCAGGCUGUCUCCACCCGAGACUCAGUGAAAUUGAACUCGCUGUGAAGAUGCAGUGUACCCGCGGCAAGACGGAAAGACCCCGUGAACCUUUACUAUAGCUUGACACUGAACAUUGAGCCUUGAUGUGUAGGAUAGGUGGGAGGCUUUGAAGUGUGGACGCCAGUCUGCAUGGAGCCGACCUUGAAAUACCACCCUUUAAUGUUUGAUGUUCUAACGUUGACCCGUAAUCCGGGUUGCGGACAGUGUCUGGUGGGUAGUUUGACUGGGGCGGUCUCCUCCUAAAGAGUAACGGAGGAGCACGAAGGUUGGCUAAUCCUGGUCGGACAUCAGGAGGUUAGUGCAAUGGCAUAAGCCAGCUUGACUGCGAGCGUGACGGCGCGAGCAGGUGCGAAAGCAGGUCAUAGUGAUCCGGUGGUUCUGAAUGGAAGGGCCAUCGCUCAACGGAUAAAAGGUACUCCGGGGAUAACAGGCUGAUACCGCCCAAGAGUUCAUAUCGACGGCGGUGUUUGGCACCUCGAUGUCGGCUCAUCACAUCCUGGGGCUGAAGUAGGUCCCAAGGGUAUGGCUGUUCGCCAUUUAAAGUGGUACGCGAGCUGGGUUUAGAACGUCGUGAGACAGUUCGGUCCCUAUCUGCCGUGGGCGCUGGAGAACUGAGGGGGGCUGCUCCUAGUACGAGAGGACCGGAGUGGACGCAUCACUGGUGUUCGGGUUGUCAUGCCAAUGGCACUGCCCGGUAGCUAAAUGCGGAAGAGAUAAGUGCUGAAAGCAUCUAAGCACGAAACUUGCCCCGAGAUGAGUUCUCCCUGACUCCUUGAGAGUCCUGAAGGAACGUUGAAGACGACGACGUUGAUAGGCCGGGUGUGUAAGCGCAGCGAUGCGUUGAGCUAACCGGUACUAAUGAACCGUGAGGCUUAACC
rnacentral:rRNA from 1 species